rnacentral:rRNA from 1 species
UACGUAGGGGGCUAGCGUUGUCCGGAAUCAUUGGGCGUAAAGCGCGUGUAGGCGGCCCGGUAAGUCCGCUGUGAAAGUCGGGGGCUCAACCCUCGGAUGCCGGUGGAUACUGUCGGGCUAGAGUGCGGAAGAGGCGAGUGGAAUUCCUGGUGUAGCGGUGAAAUGACGCAGAUAUCAGGAGGAACACCAAUUGCGGAGGCAGCUCGCUGGGACGUGACUGACGCUGAGACGCGAAAGCGCUGGGAGGCAAACAGG